AACGAACGCUGGCGGCAUGCCUAACACAUGCAAGUCGAACGAAACCUUCGGGUCUAGUGUCGCACGGGUUCGUAACGCGUGGGAAUCUGCACUCGGGUUCGGAAUAACAGUGAGAAAUUACUGCCAAUACCGGACGAUGUCUUCGGACCAAAGAUUUAUCGCACAGGGAUGUUCCCGAGUAGGAUUAGCUAGUUGGUGGGGUAAUGGCCUACCAAGGCGAGGAUCCUUAGCUGGUAUGAGAGGAUGAUCAGCCACACCGGGACUAGGAAGCGGCCGGGAAUCUUCCGGGAGGGAGGAGAGGGGAACAUUGCAACGUGGGGUGAGGCAUGAUGGUGCUAUGCCCGGUGAGCGCUGAUGGCAUUAGAGUAGUAAAGCGCUUGUACCCGGGCUGAUAAUGACGGUACCGGGAGAAUAAGCCACGGCUAACUCCGUG
rnacentral:rRNA from 1 species